CGCCCCUCACGCAGCGCGCCGUCAGUGGGGUGGAAAGUGAGACCAACUCAGAAAUGGAGCAAUAGAGGCAGGGAGUGGUCUUGGCCUCUCUUCCAGGCUGUAGUCAGUCGAAAGACGGCUCUGGGGUUUCUUUGGCCUGUCGGGACGAACUUACAGAACUUUUGCCCUUCAACAAGCCCCACUGUACCCUUGUAACUGCCCCCAAGCCAAGGAACAUGACCCACCCCUACCCGCCCCGGGAGCCCCAUGGCUCCUGUCCUGUUCUGUCAUCUCCACCCUAUGAAGGUGGCCAGCGUCUGGAGUUUAGCCCAGUAGGUUCAUUGUGCCCGUCAGGUUCAUAUGAGGGGAUUCAGACAGGAAGCUGUCCAUCAUGCCUGGCUUCUUUCACUCCACGCAAUGCCUGCUGUUGAGUGGGGAAGGCUUCCGGCAUCAGGGUUAGACUGUGGGUUUGGGUGUUGAAGGAGGUGGGCACUGCUGAUUUGGAACCUCAAGUUCCAACCCCACAGGUGGUCUUUAGGAUUGGGUCUCAUGGCAAGGGGAUAGGAGAGUCCUUGACUGCGGGCCUGGCAUGUUCUGGAAACUUUCACACAUCUCAUUUAAGGACUGUGCUAUGUGAGGGGUCAGCUCCAGUUUGACUUUAGCUAGGGAGAGGCUGUAAGGUGUUAGAGCUGUUACGGGAAAGGGUCCUGAUCCAGACCCCAAGAGAGGGGGUUCUUGGAUCUCAUGCAAGAAAGAAUUCAGGGCGAGUCUGUAAAGUGAAAGCAAGUUUAAGAAAAUGAAGGAAUAAAAGAAUGGUUACUCCAUAGACAGAGCCCUGAGGGCUGCUGGUUGCUCAUUUUUAUAGUUAUUUCUUGAUUAUAUGCUAAACCAGGGGUGGGUGAUUCAUGCCUCCCCUUUUUAGACUAUAUAGCGUAACUUCUUGACGUUGCCAUGGCAUUUGUAAACUGUCAUAGCGGUAAUGGGAGUGUAGCAAUGAAGACAAGCAGGGUUCACUCUUAUUGCCAUCUUGGUUUUGGUGGGUUUUGGCCGGCUUCUUUACCGCAAGCUGUUUUAUCAGCAAGGUCUUUAUGACCUGUACCUUGUGCUGACCUCCUAUCCCAUCCUGUGACUUAGAAUCCUUUAACUGUCUGGGAAUGCAGCCCAGUAGUUCUCAGCCUCAGUUUACCCAGCUCCUAUUCGAGAUGGAGUUGCUCUUGUUCAAACGCCUCUGCCAGACCCACCAGUGUCUCUAACAAACCCGGAAUCCAGUUGGCCUUGAGGCAUGAGACUUCAACUCCCUUUACCACCCCUUCCCCCUCACUCACACCUUUGCCCCUCACCCUUCACACCUCAUCCUUUCCUAUAGAGAGAUCUUCCUUUCUGUGUAAGUAUACACAACUUUUUUGUAAUUGGCUGUUGUCAACUGGUAUUUGGCUAGUGCUUUACCCGACUACUUGAAAUAAAAAUAUCUCAGUGUUUUAAGUUAAUCCUCAGAAGACCCUGUGAUAUAAUUAUCAUAAUUUUACAUUUUUGAGAAAACAGAUGCAGAGGCGUUAAGAAACUGGAACAAGGUCAUCAAAUUAAGGAAGUAAGAGACGCAGGACUUCCUGACUCUGCAUCUUCUCCUUUUUUCUCACCAUUCUAGAAUUCUCUGAGUUUUUUGAGCUUAGAGCAGAGUUUCUCAAGAGCUGCAAUACUGGCAUUUGAGUCAAGUCGUUCUUUAUUGUUGGUGGUGGAGGGGGCACCCUGUAUAUUGUAGGACGUUGGGCAGCAUCUCUGACUUCUACCUACUAGAUGCCAGUAUCUCAGUUUUCUUAAAAGACUUUUUUUUUUUUUUUUUUUUUUUUGAGAUGGAGUCUUGCUGUGUUGCCUAGGCUGGAGUGCAGUGGCACCAUGUCGACUCACUGCAACCUCCGCCUCCCCGGUUCAAGCGAUUCUCCUGCCUCAGCCUCCUGAGUAGCUGGGAUUACAGGUGAGCACCACCAUGCCCAGCUAAUCGUAAAAGACUUUUCAUAAAACUUCAGAACUCCUUAAAAACUAGUGAAUAGCCAAGGUGAAGAAAGCCCUCAGGCUUCUGACUUUAGACCCCAAUCCCUGGGACUCCCACACUCAGCAAAGAAAGCUGGGUGCCUGCACCCUGGAUCUCUGAGCAAACCUGUCUUAUGGCUGUGGGCAACUCAGGAACAUGAAUUAGCACGAGAAUCUGGAGUUUUUCUUUCCUUUUCUGGGUCUCACUCUGUCACCCAGGCUGGAGUGCAGUGGCGCAGUCAUGGCUCCCUGUAACCUCAACCUCUCAGACUCCAGCAAUCCUCCUGCGACAGGGAGGCAGUCAAUGGUGAAUGCUGGCCUCGCUGAUUACUCACCUGGAGACCUUUCUGAGGAUCAGUUUUCUCAUCUAGAAAAUGGGACAACUGCCAGACCACUGAAGAAAAUACAGAAAACAGCCCCACACAUCAGCAUGUUUGGUUGCUGCCAGUCUACUUGGAUCUGAGUAUUUUUUCUUGCCAUGAAUGUGACGUGAUUAUCUUCUCCUACAUCACACUGAAGUUUUAUGAAUGAUGCUUUGAAGUGGGAAGGGCCAGAGAGUUAAUAUUUUCGGCUUCUUGGGCCAGCUGGUCUCGGUGGCAGCUACUGAGCUCUGCCACUGCAGCAGAGAACGGGCACAGGCGAUAUGGAAAUGAUAGGCGCGGCUGUGUUCCAAUAAAACUUUAUUUACAAAAAUGGGCAGUAGACCAGAUUUGGUCUGUGUCUUAGAGUUUGCUGACCCUGCUUUAAAGAAACAUCAAAGAGAUUCUACCAGCUGAUUUCCUUGCUCCCAAAAUUCUUGUAAGGACUAUGGCUGAGUUAGGAAGUUAUGUACUUUAAUAGCUAAUUUCAGGCCUGGCGUGGUGGCUCACGCCUGUAAUCCCAGCACUUCGGGAGGCUGAGGUGGGUGGAUCACUUGAGGUCAGGAGUUUCAGACCAGCCUGGCCAACAUGGCGAAACCCUGUCUCUACUAAAAAUACAAAAAAAUUAGCUGGGCGUG
rnacentral:lncRNA from 10 species